UACAGAGGUCCCGAGCGUUGUUCGGAUUUAUUGGGCGUAAAGGGUGCGUAGGCGGCGGAGUAAGUUGGGUGUGAAAUCCCGGGGCUCAACCUCGGAAUGGCAUUCAAUACUGCUUCGCUAGAGUACUGGAGAGGAGGUUGGAAUUUACGGUGUAGCAGUGAAAUGCGUAGAUAUCGUAAGGAAGGCCGGUGGCGAAAGCGAGCCUCUGGACAGUUACUGACGCUGAUGCACGAAGGCCAGGGGAGCAAACGGG
rnacentral:rRNA from 1 species